rnacentral:rRNA from 1 species
CCUACGGGAGGCUGCAGUGGGGAAUCUUGGACAAUGGGCGCAAGCCUGAUCCAGCCAUGCCGCGUGAGUGACGAAGGCCUUAGGGUUGUUAAGCUCUUUUGGCGGGGACGAUAAUGACGGUACCCGCAGAAUAAGCCCCGGCUAACUUCGUGCCAGCAGCCGCGGUAAUACGAAGGGGGCUGGCGUUGUUCGGAAUUACUGGGCGUAAAGCGCACGUAGGCGGAUUUGUAAGUCAGGGGUGAAAUCCCGGGGCUCAACCUCGGAACUGCCUUUGAUACUGCAAAUCUUGAGUCCGAUAGAGGUGAGUGGAAUUCCUAGUGUAGAGGUGAAAUUCGUAGAUAUUAGGAAGAACACCAGUGGCGAAGGCGGCUCACUGGAUCGGUACUGACGCUGGGGUGCGAAAGCGUGGGGAGCAAACAGGAUUAGAUACCCUGGUAGUCUC